AUCGCAGCUCCUGCUUCGGGGGGGGCUCUCGCUCCUCUCUCCCACCCCACUGUGUCUGGGCAAGGUCACUGCAGCUCCUUGGCAAACUCAUUUUCACCGUGCCCAUCUCCCCUGGCUUCCCAAAAUCUGCUGAGAUCAGCCGUGAGCAGUCCCUGGGCUCAGCCCAAAGCAUCCCUCUGGGAGGGAUUUUUUUUUUUUCUGGGAAGCUCUCUCCAAACCCCAAAACCUGAGGGCACGUCCCAGCUGGGAGCACAGGUGGAGAGCUCCAGGUGGCUUUUCCCUUAUAACUAGGGCAGGGCUCUGCUCUCUCUGCUGCUAGCCAGGAUCCCCAGGGGCAUUUUUAUCAGCUUUUUCUACAUCUCCCCAAUGAAACUGGGCAUUUUCUGCUGUGACCAUGAGAGAGAAGCCCCAGGGAGCUGGGUGAGAGCUGGGCCCUCUCGUGUCACCUCCACACCAGGAUGUUUUCUCCUUCCUUUGGCUAAACACAGGCAAACAGCUCCCGGUCCUCCUCCUGCCCAGGGCUGGGUGCUCGAGGAGCCCUGCAGAUACACCCAGGGCUGUGGCACAGGCAGAAAAGGGAUGGCCACGGGGCUGGCAGCCAGCAAAGCCUCUCCUUCACCGAAGGGAGGCAAAAUUGUGCAGCUUUCCUGGGCUGGCCUCUCCCCAGCAUGCUGACGGGGCUGUUUGUGCUCUUCUUUUAUGAUCCGCAGGGCACGAGGGAACUCGAGAGGAUCCGGAUCCUGGCGCAGGCAAGGACGAGGAUGCUCAGCUGUGCUAGCAGGGAAGUGAGCUUCCCAAGAUGACACCGUGUUCUUUUUUUUUUUUGGUUUCUUUCUUUUUUUAUUAUUAUUUUUUUCCUGCCUGCUGGCGGUGACAGGAUAUAAAAGGAUCCUGAGCACCACGUGCCUGGUGCGAGUGCGCAGGGCGAAAUGUUCGACGUGCUGGAUAAAUGAGCAGGAGGGAGGUGUCGGCCACGGGGGGGCCCUGGGUUGUGUUUGUACAAGCAGAGCUGCCAAAUGUCCCCGUCCCCAGCUCUGCAGGGAUGCCUGCACCAUCCUGACCCCAGGGGCACGGUUAAUCCCCCAGCUGGGGCGGCCUCGUGGCUGAUGGAGAGGACGGAGAGCCGGGGGGGUGCUCCUGGGUUGCACCCUGAGGCUUGGCCCCCGCCUCCCCUUCAUUUCGUGGGGAUGCUGAGCCCUGCUCCGCACAUCUCCCAGGCUGUGCUCAUUGCCCAAACAGCCCGGAGAUGUUCCAUAAAGGGCUUCACCUCCCGGCUCUGACUCAGACAUCAAGCGCAAAUAUCGUGCGGCUCCCCCCGUGACACGCAGCUGAAGCUUGUGCUGUGUUUUUCUGGCCGCUUUCUCGCGGUCGCUCGGCUGGAAAGCUCGCUCAGGCAGCAGCAGCAGAGCAUUUAAGCAGAGCGCCGUGGCUUUUCCUGCCCGGCCCUUUGCAGCUGCCAGGGAAAACCAGAAGCUCCUGCCCUUUGCUGCUCCAAAGCUCUCAUUUCCCGCAGGGGGGUGGAACACCCGCAGCUCAUCCUCCGGCACAAAAAGCCCCCGCUUUAUGGGCACGGCACGGCACGUGUCCCCCUGCGGCACACCCGGCUGCGUCGGGGACAGGCUGUCCCAGCCUCCUGCUGGCUCUGGUGGCACCCGCAGCCUGCGGGGACAGCUUGUGCCAGCGAGGACAGAAAGCGUUCUGCGACGCGCUUCGCUCUUGCAGCGCGCGCGCGUGACUGCGAAACCUUCCCCCCCCUGCUGCCAAAUUCAUCCUGAGGUUUGCGGCUCUGAAAGCCAACGUGUCUCUUUCUUCUUUUUAAUUGCUAUAAUUUGUCCGGCUCAUGGUGAGGCUCGGCUUUGAGCCCCCCCACCCGGUGGGUUUAUUUUGGGUUUUGUGCCGCACGGAGAGCAAGAAGCGCCACGGACCCGCGUGGGGCUCAUUUCGGAGUUGUUCCUGUGCCCCCCGUGGGACUCCUCUGGUGAAUAAAGCUGUGUGGGAUCAGAGGCAAAAAACCACAGCCUGGGAAAUUUCUGCAGAGGAGGGAAGGGGGGAGAUUGCUGCUAGCAGGCGAGCAGCGGGGCUGAUUGCUCCUCUCGUGCUGGGGCUCAUUAACGGGGGGCUGGAUGGAGGGCAGAGCGCAGUGCACACUGAAGGCUUUGGGGCAGGGGCUGCUGCCCCCUGCCCGGGGAGGAUGUUUGGGGCCAUUGGGGUGCUUGUCUGGGGCUCCUGCCUGACCCCAGCAUCCUCCCGUGGCAGCCAGGCCCUGGGAUGCUUUUCUCCCUCUCCUGGAAGAGGCUGGAAUCUGAAGUGCGCAGGGCAGGAAAAGCUGAAGGCUGAUCCUCGGCUGGGAGUGGAGGGCACGAAGCAGCACGGAUCCUGGGAUGGGGAUGGGAUGGGGAUGGGGCUGUGGUGGGACACGUCCCCCAUCCCCUUCUGCUGCAAGCAAUGCCCCAACCCAGGGGGACCUCCCGGGACCUGCCCCAUGUCCUGGCUCCCCACACCCUUCCCGGGGUUCCCUGGGGUCCCCACAGCUCUCCAACCCUGGGGACCCCCUCCAGAACCCCUCAGCUCUUUCUGUGGCAUCUCACAGCUCUGCGUGUACAUCCCCACUGUCCCCGGGGUCCUGCCAGCAAUCCCCCCCCCCCAGGUGGCCUUGUUUUUGCUCAGCGAAGGCGGAUGGGAGCCACCAUCUUCCGAGCGCCGAGCGUUUUUAAUCUCCUGCUCCCGCUCCGUGCAAUUAACUCGAUUCCCUCCCCUCGUUUCCUGCAGAGGUUUAAUUAAAAUGCAUUGUUCGCCUCGCCAAUUAUUUGCUCUGUCCCCCGGAUAACCUCUGUGCAGCGGCUGGGUUGCUGGUGGUUUUUUUUUGUUUUUAUUUUUUUUUCCACCCCCCCCUUGUUGCCAGCCAGGUUUCUCCCCUCUCCCCCUUGCAGCCUUUACCUGCCCGGGUGCUGAGCACCCCCUGGGCGCUGAGAGGGGGGGCGAGGAGCAGCGUGCCCCCGAGCAGCUGAAACAACAAGCCCUUGUUGACUUUCCUUUGAGCUCCCCGGCCCUCGGCAGCUGCUGCUCCAGCAGGUGAUAAUUGAAACCGGGCGCCGACCUGGAUGGCGGCAGGGCUGCAGAUUUCGCUCGGAUUUCGUCCCCUUGGCGGUGGAAAAAAGGCACCGAGGCUCCACGUGGGGGCAAGAGGACACAGGGGGGGUGUUGGGGGCUGUGCCCCCUUUAGCUCCUAGCCCAAAAUGUGGCCGGAUUGGGACCCGCAGGGUGCAGCCCCCCGAGGUGCCGCGAGGUCACCGAGGGAAGACGAAUUAUUUCCUGGAGCCCUGUGUUUCGGGGAAGGGGUGCUCAGCAUCCUAAAAAUAGCGGGGCUGGAACUCUGAGAUAUUCCUGGCCACGCAGUGCUUGAAUCUCCAGGCUGAAUCUCCGAGCUGUUCCUGGCCACGCCGUGUUUGAAGCGGGGCCAAGGCAGCUGCUGCCGGGCGUCCCCCCGGCACGGCGCGCAGGUGGCCUCGGCGCUGGGACCGCAGCCGAGGUUUCGAGGUUUGGGUGAAUUUCCUCCUGCUCCCUGUCCCCCCUGGGGGGCUUCCAGAGCCGGGGGGGCACCCGGAGCUGCCGCUGGGUGAAAUCCCAGGGGAUGGGGUUUGCUGCAUCCCGGCAGCACCGGGGUCCUCCCCAGCCGGGAUGGGUGCGCGCACCCCGCAGCCCUCACCAGCUCCCUGCGCCGUGUUUUAUUUCUUGGCAUCACCUCCAGGUGUGAGGUUAACGGGGCAAAUUCAUGCUGUGGAAAUCCGUCUGUCUGUCUGUCUGUCUGCCACCUGUGAUCCUAAAUCUGUGCUGCUGCCGUGCAGAUUGGAGCCCUUUGGGGCUGGAGCCCCACGCGCCCGGUUGUUCCCGCAGCUGUGUGUGCGCCUCGUAAUUGGGAGCUGUCGGCCGCGCGCCUCUCCCGUGCAGAGCAGAGGCCUGGACGCAGCGGGCGGGGAUUGAGCUGCGAUCGCUGCCGCCGGGGUGAGAAUUUGACUGAAAAUUUCAUUUUUUCCCCCGCAAAGCGAGGAAGCAGGAUCCCGGGAACGUGGCCACGAGGCCACCGUGACCUGGUCUCGCAGGGGCCAGGAGCGGAGCUGGGGGGCUGCAACCUCCCCCCCGAUCCCUGAGCCCCCUCCUGCGGCAUCCGAGUGUUUUGGGGGGGCGCACGGGUGGGUGCACGGCAGGAGCCCCCAAUGCUGAGCCCCAAACCCUGUGGAAAGCAUUUCCAAGGAGGAGCUGUGCUGCUGGGUGCGCAGAGGGGCUCCGAGGGGCUCCUGGGCCAGCGUGCGGGGCCCUGGCACGGAGCAGGGCCCAUGGGCAGCUCCUGAUGCUCACCCCAAACCCAGCAUCCUAAACCCUAAUCCCAACCCUAAUCCUAACCCUAACCCCAACUCUUUCCUGGGGAACCUGUGGCAAAUCAGGAGCUGCCCGUUUUCGCACCCCAUUAGGGACAGGUGGCACUUUUAGGGUGAUCCCUGCCCCGUCCCACAGCGGGGUGGGUCAGUGCCCCCACGGGGACGGUUUUCCUGAGCGGCCGCCAAGCCCAGGGAGCCGGCCCACCCCGAGCAGGGGGCGUCUAUUUAUGGGCUGAAAAAGGAAAAGCGUCCAACUGCCGAAAUUGGCAGCGCAUCCCCUGACUAUAAUAAACAGCUUCCCUUCCAA